rnacentral:rRNA from 1 species
UACGUAGGGUGCGAGCGUUGUCCGGAAUUACUGGGCGUAAAGAGCUCGUAGGUGGUUUGUCGCGUUGUUCGUGAAAACUCACAGCUUAACUGUGGGCGUGCGGGCGAUACGGGGCAGACUGGAGUACUGCAGGGGAGACUGGAAUUCCUGGUGUAGCGGUGAAAUGCGCAGAUAUCAGGAAGAACACCCGUGGCGAAGGCGGCUCUCUGGGACGGUACUGACGCUGAGACGCGAAAGCGUGGGGAGCGAACAGG